UUGACCUCAAAUCAGGUAGGACUACCCGCUGAACUUAAGCAUAUCAAUAAGCGGAGGAAAAGAAACUAACAAGGAUUCCCCUAGUAACUGCGAGUGAAGCGGGAAGAGCUCAAAUUUGUAAUCUGGCAGUUCUUGAACUGUCCGAGUUGUAAUCUAGAGAAGUGUUACCUGUGCUGGACCAUGUACAAGUCUCCUGGAAUGGAAGCAUCACAGAGGGUGAGAAUCCCGUCUUUGACAUGGACUGCCUGCACGUUAUGGUGCGCUCUCAAAGAGUCGAGUUGUUUGGGAAUGCAGCUCAAAAUGGGUGGUAAAUGCCAUCUAAAGCUAAAUAUUGGCGAGAGACCGAUAGCGAACAAGUACCGUGAGGGAAAGAUGAAAAGUACUUUGGAAAGAGAGUUAAACAGUACGUGAAAUUGCUGAAAGGGAAACGCUUGAAGUCAGUCGCGUCGGCUAGAAAUCAGCCUUGCUUUUGCUUGGUGUACUUUCUGGUUUGACGGGUCAGCAUCAAUUUCGAUCAUUGGAUAAAGUCAUCGGGAAUGUGGCAUCUUAGGAUGUGUUAUAGCCCAGUGUCGCAUACAGUGGUUGGGAUUGAGGAACUCACCACGCCGCAAGGCCGGGUUUCGACCACGUUCGUGCUUAGGAUGCUGGCAUAAUGGCUUUAAUCGACCCGUC
rnacentral:rRNA from 1 species